rnacentral:misc_RNA from 1 species
UACGGAGGAUCCAAGCGUUAUCCGGAAUCAUUGGGUUUAAAGGGUCCGUAGGCGGGAGAAUAAGUCAGUGGUGAAAGUCUGCAGUUUAACUGUAGAAUUGCCAUUGAAAUUGUUUUCCUUGAGUCAUUAUGAAGUGGUUAGAAUAUGUAGUGUAGCGGUGAAAUGCAUAGAUAUUACGUAGAAUACCGAUUGCGAAGGCAGAUCACUAAUAAUUCACUUACGCUGAGGGACGAAAGCGUAGGUAGCGAACAGG